UCAUUAUUUUUUAGUUCUUCAUUAUUAAUUAGCUAAAAAAAAUAACUUUUCCGUAUUUAGAAGGUUUGUGGGAGUUUAUCACCAUUUUUAACACCAUUUAUCCCACUGUGUUUGCAAACCGGUCAAAUGCAUCGCGUGCUGCGCCCAAUAUCCGGUCUGAAUAAUCUCGUUAAAAAAUAGUCUUUCCGAAAAUCACCAAAAAUCGGACUAUGAUAGCAAAUAGCUCACAGCUGUCCGCUAUAAUGGAGAAUAUACUCAAAAUCGGGACUUUAUCGCGUGAUUAAUAAUGCCACUUGUACAUGACUUCUAAUAAGAUAAUUAGAACUGUUCAGAUAGUAAUAGUUAGAUAUUAUAAAUACACAUAGUUAUGCGCAUUUCUCAUAGUAUGCAAAGUAAUUCUUGAUAAAUUAUUAAUACAAUAAAUUCAUAUUUACAUGAAUUAAUGACUUAACUAUACUACUUUAAAUUAUAAACACAUAUUAGACUUUUAAUAAUAUCAUAUAUAAAAGAUAUAUGUAAUACUUAAGUUCAUUCAGAGCGAUGUUGUACUUAAAUGCAAAAGUUAUUUAGGUCAAACUAACUAUAAUCAUACAUAUGUAUGUAUGUCCGAAUAAUAAUAUGAUAAUGAGGUUAACCAUAGUUAACUGUAAGACGCUAUUGAUUGCAAAGGCUACAUUAGGUAGUACGUAAUAUGCUACAAUUAAUACAUAUAUACAAAACAUAUACAUAUAUAUACAUCACAUAUUAUUAGAUAUAUAUAUGGACAUAUUAUAUACAUACAACAUAUAAAAGAAUAUGUUAUAUUGAUAUACUUAUAUAUAUAAGAAAGCUCGUUAUUUUCAUAUAGUGGAUUUGUACAUGGCCAGUGUGUACACUAAGUGAAAAAACUUUUAGCUAAAUAUGUUUAAAACUAUUAAGAUUCAUAAAAAUUUACAAGGAAUACGUUUAUGUCUAGAUCAAUUAUUUACAUAUUUGUUUACAUGUGCCACACUAAUUGGUCCCCCAAGGAUAUAGAUGUAUGUACAUGUCUUUAUAAAAAGUUCGUAUAUUCGAGCGCAUAUAUACAUACAUUUCAAAUGUGUACAAAUGUCUUGAUGGCUUAAAAAGAAUAAAUUAAAAUAGUUCGCCAUAGUAACAAAUCA